rnacentral:rRNA from 1 species
UACAGAGGUCCCGAGCGUUGUUCGGAUUCAUUGGGCGUAAAGGGUGCGUAGGCGGCGUGGCAAGUCUGAUGUGAAAUCCCGGGGCUCAACCCCGGAACUGCAUUGGAUACUGCCUUGCUUGAGUACUGGAGAGGAGACUGGAAUUUACGGUGUAGCAGUGAAAUGCGUAGAUAUCGUAAGGAAGGCCAGUGGCGAAGGCGAGUCUCUGGACAGUUACUGACGCUGAGGCACGAAGGCCAGGGGAGCAAACGGG